rnacentral:lncRNA from 1 species
AUGGAUGCAGAGCCUGGGAGCCUGCCCAGGGCUUCCACUGGCACCGCCGUCAUGAUUCAUGCUCCAGCAGCGCUUGGAAGUGGGCAGAGAAGGGAGCUGAGGCCGAGGGGCAGGGAGGUGGCUCUGCCCUGGAACCACCACCAGGGAUCGCAGCCCGACCCGGACUCCGCAGGACCCCUGCGCACCCAGGCAGCAUCGCGUCCUCCGCCAGGCAGCGAGCGGUUGGCUCUCCAAUCAGGCGGCGGACCCCGAGCCGACCGGUGCUGCGCGCGAGUGUGCGCGCCCGCGUGUGCGUGCGCGUGUGCCCGGGGGAGGCUAGGAGGCUCUUGUCUUAGAAAGAGCAGGUUUCUGGAACUCACCGCCCAGGCCAUCCAGCACUCAACCCCGUCCCGCAGGCCGCAGUCGGCCCUGGAGGGGGCGCCCUCGCCGUGCGCGCGCGCCUCGCGCCACCGCCCUGGACUCCUCCCCGGCGCCGCGCGGGCAGGUUCGCCGAGGCGGCAGCGGGCUCCGGCUCCCGGGCCCGCUCCCCCCGGGCCGGCAGCGCUGGCCUGCCCGCCAGGCCGCCCCCGCCCGCCCGCGCCCCGCCCCGCGCGCCCGCCCCGCUGCGCAACUCUACCCAAGUUGGAAGCCGAGGCCGGGCGGCUGCACUCGCGCCGAGCGCACGGCGGCGGCGGCGGCGGCGGCGAAGGAGGAGGAGGCGGCGGCGGCGGCGGCGGCGGCGGCUGCAGCGCAGCUAAGACGAGCGAGGCAGGCGAGGCGGAGCCCGCACGGCCGAACGCGGACCGCGGGGGGCGCCCGCGCCCGGAGCAGCGGGAGAAGGACGCGCGCCGGCGCCGGCGCCCUGCCCGGGAAAGUAAAGUUGGAGCCCGGGGCUGCGCGCGGGCGCUGGGGCCCGGAGGAGCGGCGGCCCGCGCCCCGGUGCGCCCAGCCCUAGCCGGCCGGAUGGGAGGCGGAGCGCCCGGGCCGCCGCCGCCGCCGCCUGCAGCCUGCGCCCCGGUCGGGCGCCGGGGCCGCGGGGCCGCUCGGGCACGCCCGCUCGGGCGCCGCAUCACCCCGGGCUCGCGGCCGGGGCGCUCCCCGUGA